rnacentral:rRNA from 1 species
AUCGAACGCUGGCGGCAGGCCUAACACAUGCAAGUCGAACGAAUGGCGGACGGGUGAGUAAUGUCUGGGAAACUGCCUGAUGUAGGGGGAUAACUACUGGAAACGGUAGCUAAUACCGCAUACCAUCAGAUGUGCCCAGAUGGGAUUAGCUUGUUGGUGGGGUAACGGCUCACCAAGGCGACGAUGCCUAGCUGGUCUGAGAGGAUGACCAGCCACACUGGAACUGAGACACGGUCCAGACUCCUACGGGAGGCAGCAGUGGGGAAUAUUUGACAAUGGGCGCAAGCCUGAUGCAGCCAUGCCGCGUGUAUGAAGAAGGCCUUCGGGUUGUAAAGUACUUUCAGCGGGGAGGCGUUACCCGAAGAAGAAGCACCGGCUAACUCCGUGCCAGCAGCCGCGGUAAUAC